rnacentral:rRNA from 1 species
CCUACGGGCGGCAGCAGUGGGGAAUAUUGCGCAAUGGGCGAAAGCCUGACGCAGCGACGCCGCGUGAGGGAUGAAGGUCUUCGGAUUGUAAACCUCUGUCAGCAGGGAAGAACGGUCACUGUGCUAAUCAGCAGUGAAUUGACGGUACCUGCAAAGGAAGCACCGGCUAACUCCGUGCCAGCAGCCGCGGUAAUACGGAGGGUGCGAGCGUUAAUCGGAAUUACUGGGCGUAAAGCGCUCGUAGGCGGUAUGUUAAGUCAAGGGUGAAAUCCCCGCGCUCAACGUGGGAACUGCCUUUGAAACUGGCAGACUGGAGUGUGUGAGAGGAUAGUAGAAUUCCAGGUGUAGCGGUGAAAUGCGUAGAGAUCUGGAGGAACAUCAGUGGCGAAGGCGGCUAUCUGGCACAACACUGACGCUGAGGAGCGAAAGCGUGGGUAGCAAACAGGAUUAGAUACCCCUGUAGUC